AUUUGAACGACACUCUAGAGGAGUUCACUGAAACAGCAGCUUUAAAGUGCUUUGCCAGAGAAGGGUCUAGGCAGAAGAUGAGGUUUUAAAAAGAUGUCAUUAGGAGAAGUCACUAGGAAGUUACUACUGAAGAAAGCAAAUGUCAGCUUCUGAAAGCUCGUGUGUUGACAGUUGCUGCUGCACAUGUGUGUCAGGAGAUGCGUCAGCUAAGUUCAGAUACACUGCCCUCCCAGCAAUGGAAGAAACAGCCAUUCAGGAGAUGCAGCCGGCCAUUCAUUUUUAUCAUCCUGAUGUACACCCUUGAAAACCAAUGGGAAGGUUGAAUGUGCAGUCUUUCAUUAUGUUUCUUACUAAGGGGAGAAGAAUACACAGACACAGAAUACAUGCGUUGUAAAUGCCAGUUGUGUGAAAACAAAAUUGGUGUAAUAUGUAGCUGGAUAUAGUCAGGCUGGCAUAAAGAAUCAAAAAGACUUUCCUGGAAGUUUAAUCAUGUUGCAACAUAACAAAAAGAGAACAACUGGAAAGUCAGUUGUCAAAAAUAAGAUGGCUUCAAGCUCUGCAAAAACACAGGGAAAGUACAAAUGGGCAUGCAAAUGGAUGCUUCUGAUGCCUUGACCAUGUCCUGUGGGUCCAGGAGCCCUUCUUUCCUGACUGUUGAUCCUGCUCCGUUAUCAAGUUGACUCUUUUUGCCUCAUUUCACCCUACUUCCCCUAACCUUCCUCGUUUUGUUGGUAUUUGUCAUGAUCACCUUUGUCACCUUUUCUAACCCAAAGUAUGUUUGCAUUUUGGCUAGGAGAGGAAGAAUAAACUGUUGCCUGUGAUAGUAAUAAGGGUUUAAUUAAUAAAGAAAUAAAUCUGUGGUUCAGCU
rnacentral:lncRNA from 1 species